GAAUGGCAAAAGAUCUCACAAAAUAAGUAAAGAUCCGAACCUAAAAUUGACAUAAAACAAAAUAUCCUUCAGAGUACUUUAUCAUGGAACAUAUGAGUUUGCUGACAAAACAAGAGAGUGAUAGAUAAGCCAACCAAGGAGAGACAGAGAAAAGACAUGGGAUAACUAGUAACGGCCAAUACCCCAAACCCUGAUAACUCUAUCGGUGUUAGUAAGAAAGUAUCUUUUCUGAAGGAGCUGAUAAUUGAUUUCUUUAUUUUCUUUUAGGAGGAGUUCCUAUGGGAAGCUGAAAUGGUUAAAAUAAAAGCCCAAGAUUUGAAGAAUCAGAGGUGGAACAAGCCAAAGAAUGGCUUCAUCUUUACGCUGAACUAGCCAAAGAAUGGCUUCAUCUUUACGCUGAACUAGCCUUGUACACCAAGAAGCAGACGGACCCGUUCAUGUUUGAGCGUUCAAAGCCCCUGGAGCUCGGAAAGGUUGUUGUGCAAACCAGAGGAGUUGUCGACUCUCUGAAAGAGGUCGAGCUGUUGGAUAAUGCAGUCUUCUUCAUAACCUUCAAAACAAGUUGCGGUGAUGUCUGGAAAGGUAUCAUCAGGAGGACAAGGGAUGGGAUUCCAGAGCAUCUAUCACUUGAAGCCAAGUGCUUCAUGUGAUGUGAAGAGUCUCUUCUGAGGUUGACUAUGAGAGAGAGAGUAAUUUUUUUUUAAAAACGGUCUGUAGUUCUAUCUACGCUAUCAAGUAUCUUUUAAGUUGAUUGUGCAAUCGUAAUGUUUGUCUUUUAAACUGAGUCUCUGAGGUUGAUUAUGUGAGUAAUUAAAAACGGUCCGAGUAAACGUUUGUAGUUCUUCUAUCUAUGCUAGGCUAGCAACUAUCUCUUUUUUGA